CUAUGCAAAAAGAAAAAGCUUCUCUCUUCUCAAUAUUUCUCACGUCGGAUCGUCACGAGUCACCACCAUAGUUACCAUCAGCCUCUAUUGUUAUCUUCCCCACCAUUGUUACCGACGUCUUCUUGUCAAUUUUGACGCAUUUGUGCUCUAAUCGGAAAAACCUGAAGCAAAAACUCUCUGUAACUAUCUUAUUCGAGAUAUUCCGCUCAUUGGAUGAUGGAUGGCAACACCAUGAUGGAGCAAGUCAUUUGCCUUUCGAAGCAGAUUCUGUUGAAGAUAUUGAGCUUAACAACACCUCUCCUGUAGCUCAAAAUUCUGAGCAACCUCAGAAAAAUGGUAAAAGGUCAAGAUCAAAGCAACCUAAAUCAUCUCGAAAGCACUCAAGGGAAGAUCAGUGGGAUCGAGUCUUAGAUCUUAUCGAGGACCAGGGAAGAUUUUUUAUGGGAGGUAGAGAAAGUUUUUAUACGUAUAGUUCUGCUGCUUGUGUUAAGGAGAUGGAAAAGAUGGUAUUUCUUAAUCAACAAGGCGAGUUGUAUUGGGCAGCCAGACGAGGCAAAGAAGAUUGAAUACCUGGAAAGAAUGAUAGGAAAAAGAACUCAUUUCAAGAGGAGAAGAGGAAGGAGAUUCAUGGUUCUACAUAGGUCAACGCUGCACUGUUCAUGUGAGAUUUUGCUAAGUCUUUGAUAAAUCUGUGGGACUACAUUUGGUUGUUAUGUAUACUGAUUCAUGGUUCAUAGGAGCUUCGUUUGUUUUCUCUCAGUGUUUUUUAGUUGAUGUUUAAGUUAAGUAAGAAAAAGUAGUACAGAUGAUGUGCUCUGUAUACUUGCACUAGAUGAUAAUAAGUUUAUGUUUGCUAAUCAUGUAUAAGUUUAAAGCUUGGGAAUCGAUUUUGGGAAUGUAACGCAGAAAGGA